rnacentral:rRNA from 1 species
GGUGGCCUGUGAGGGUUGCUGGAGGUAUCAGAAGUGCGAAUGCUGACAUAAGUAACGAUAAAGCGGGUGAAAAGCCCGCUCGCCGGAAGACCAAGGGUUCCUGUCCAACGUUAAUCGGGGCAGGGUGAGUCGACCCCUAAGGCGAGGCCGAAAGGCGUAGUCGAUGGGAAACAGGUUAAUAUUCCUGUACUUGGUGUUACUGCGA